UGCAAGUCGAGCGGAUGAGUGGAGCUUGCUCCAUGAUUCAGCGGCGGACGGGUGAGUAAUGCCUAGGAAUCUGCCUGGUAGUGGGGGACAACGUUUCGAAAGGAACGCUAAUACCGCAUACGUCCUACGGGAGAAAGCAGGGGACCUUCGGGCCUUGCGCUAUCAGAUGAGCCUAGGUCGGAUUAGCUAGUUGGUGGGGUAAAGGCCUACCAAGGCGACGAUCCGUAACUGGUCUGAGAGGAUGAUCAGUCACACUGGAACUGAGACACGGUCCAGACUCCUACGGGAGGCAGCAGUGGGGAAUAUUGGACAAUGGGCGAAAGCCUGAUCCAGCCAUGCCGCGUGUGUGAAGAAGGUCUUCGGAUUGUAAAGCACUUUAAGUUGGGAGGAAGGGCAGUAAGUUAAUACCUUGCUGUUUUGACGUUACCAACAGAAUAAGCACCGGCUAACUUCGUGCCAGCAGCCGCGGUAAUACGAAGGGUGCAAGCGUUAAUCGGAAUUACUGGGCGUAAAGCGCGCGUAGGUGGUUUGGUAAGAUGGAUGUGAAAUCCCCGGGCUCAACCUGGGAACUGCAUCCAUAACUGCCUGACUAGAGUACGGU
rnacentral:rRNA from 1 species